AAUGACAUAAUGUGUGUGAAAUAUUCGUGUGGGGAUCCCGCUGCUCUGGUUACUACUCGGAAAAUCUCCUGUUUAACUCUGGACGUUUUCGGCUUGGACUUGAUACGGCUCCAAAAGGCCUUAGAGAGUAUCUAACUUAAUUUCUUUCCAUCUCUGUUCUUUCCUCCAGAAAGAAAACGUUACCUAGGUUAUCCAUCGGUGUUUGCCUCUGAGUCUUAGUCUCCUUGGAUUAGACAGAAAAGCUCUUCAGAAUGUCUUUUUCUCCUAUAAGCUACUCAGAACCAACUAUGAAAUAUAAACUUAGAAGCCUCGAUUUUCUAUAGACCUGUCUGUGUCUAUUUAGAAGAGGAUGCAGUUUGAAUUCUCUCGUGGGGACAUUCCGAGCUUUCUUUAUUUGCUUAUGUUUCCACUGGUGGAGGCUGGGCAGCAUAUGGUGCCAUCUGCUUGACCAUACAGAACUCGCUUCGGGAGUCCCUGGGAGCUGGGCUAGGCUGCUGUGUGCACGGCUGCUCGGCGGCUCCUCGAUGUCCUCUCACUUCCAGGCUAGAAGUGCCGUGUGGGGAACACAGUGCAGCCGAGAGCAUCCUGCUGGCUUGCAAUUUCUUCUAUUCUGAGGUCCACGUCUUCAUCCCCACGCCUGGGAAGAUUGUUCCAGAGUUAAGAAGACCCUUUCCUGAGUGCCGGGCCUUUUUCCCCUCUGGAAGUAUUCUCCUGCGAGUAUUUGAAUAAAAGCAACCACACGCCAUGGACCUCAUCGGGUUGCUGAAGUCUCAGUUCCUGUGCCAUCUCGUCUUCUGUUACGUGUUUAUCGCCUCGGGGCUAAUAAUAAACACCAUUCAACUCUU